GCGGAUAUGGCGGAAUUGGUAGACGCGCUGGAUUUAGGUUCCAGUACCGAUAAGGUGUAUGGGUUCAAAUCCCUUUAUCCGCACCA
rnacentral:tRNA from 1 species